GUGAGCUUAGCAAACAGACUGAAAACAGUUAGCCUAGCUUAUCACAUGGAUAGAAAACUGUUAGCUUAGCUUAUCACAUGGAUAUAAAUCAGUUCGCUUAGCAGACAUACAGAAAACAGUUAGCUUAGCACAUGGACAAAAAACAGUUAGCUUAGCUUAUCACAUUGAUAGAAAACAGUUAGCUUAGCAGACAGACAGACAGAAAACAAUGUGGUGAGAUAACUGUUUUUUGUCUGUUUUCUAUCCAUGUGAUAAAUUAAGCUAACUAACUAGCUUAGCACAUAGACAAAAAACAGUUGGCUUAGAACAUAGGCAGAAAACAUUCAUCUUAAAAAAAAACAAGAAGGAUUAAGUUCAUUUUUGAGCUUUAGAUUUGUUUGUAAGCAGAUUGGACAGAACCACGCUAGCUGUUGCCAUCUGCAACCAGUGUUUAUGCUAAGCUAGGCUAACCACAUCCUGACUCAUCCUGUGCUUAUCGUUCAAAUAUUGGUAUAGAAUGUUGGAUCACAGUCAAAAAUUGUAAUGAAAUCAGUAACCUUUGACAUAAUUAGACCAGACUUUGUAUGCAUUAUUAGCUAAGGGUCAUGGGAGAUGUAGUUGUUGUAUGUUAGUGUAUUUUAAGUUUUAUAUUUUAGUUUUUUUCAGAAGUUGGACUGACCCAGGUUUACAGAAAUUGGGCUGAGUCCUAGUUAUGUACCUAUGCUAUCUAGUUUUUGGCGAUAACACAAUUCAGAUCGGGUGAAAUUGUUUGUGUUUCUUUACUGAUUGGUUGUUUUUCUUUCUAACAAACUAAAUUCUCAAUGGUGGUUCUGGUUGGUUUUCACGGAUAGUUGUUGCUUGUUUCUCUUAGAAUAUGGACAGAAACUUGUUAGCUUUGCAGACUGAUAAAAGGAAAACACUCCAUGACAAAAUCAGGAAUGUAUAGAAGUAAAACAGCAGAACUUUCUUUCUAAAUAUAAGAAGCAUCAGCACUGAUUUAACAUUAAACUUCGCUACGAGCUUCACCUCUUCUAGCCAUCUUCUUUUUUUUUUUUAAAAGAGCGAUGCCUGAUGGACACGUCCCAGUUUUGUCGUCUGUUUUAAUUCACACGCUUCGAUGUGAUGUAAUGAAAUGAACGAUAUCAAAAAUGAAGCACACUUCAAGCACAUUUCAGUCAUUUAGCUUGUAGCACUCGAGGUGGUUAGCUUCCUGCCAACGUGACGACAAACAUUUGGACCUGUGGAUUGUACAUUUUUGGUGACUCAUUUCAGAAAAAAGACACUUAUUUUGGGAAAUAACGUGAAAUGUUGGGAGAUUUAUUGGCGUCACGACAAGGAUGGCUGAACUUCACCCGUGUGUCGAUUUAGCUACUAGACGAAACAUCCAGAAAGUUGUUUUUUCCUUCCGAUUGAUCUGUUUCCUGUUCCUCAGAGCUCUCCUGAGAAAUACAUGUACAAAUAAUGUUUCUGUUUUGUGUUAUGGGGCGAGUUUGGAGACAGAAGCUCAACUGGAAUCACAGUUUUUUGUUUUACACAGACCGACAUGUCUGGCACAUACAGAUUGAAGUGUCUGUUUGAAACCAUUUGACCACAUGUGGACUGCAUUUUGUGGCAAAGAUAAACCAGUAACUGUGCCAUUUAUUCAACUGUUGUUGUUUUUUUGUCCUGGGCAGUUUAACCUGUACAUAGCUGAUCGCUUGCCAUCUCUGGCUUUUUUUUUUUUUUGUUCGUUCCUGAAAGUCCAUCAAAGACUUCUCACAUCUGGAGAAAUGUGACACCGCUGACUGUCGGAGCAGAUUCCCUGUGCGUUAUACCUCGAACUUUUUUGUGGAGUUAAAUGCAUUUGAACUGGGAACUGUGAAUGUGUGCAUGUAUGGAAUAAAUAAGUGUACCCACAGAAAUCCAAACCCAUGCAAAGGUGACUCUUUUCAGACUCGUUGGUACCCAAAGGGACGUCUCCAGUUCUGCACGUUCUUCACCGGCAUUAUAACAAACGCUCCUGUUGGCGGGCGUUUUCGAGGAUUUCCUUCCUCUCGUUGGACUUCUUCUCGGAGCCUCAUAUCAUUUCUCCUCCUUCCUUCCUGUUCGUCCGUUUUUUUGACAGUGCCAUUUGUUUUUUGUUUCCUCAAAGGGGUUGCAUCUCAAACAUGUAAUAUCUCGUGAUGCGCACCGACCGACCGACCGACCGGUUUCUCUUUAUCAACGCACUGUGGUUUAACUCAUUAACACCAUGCUAACGGCUGUGGACAAUCGAUGACUUUGGACGAAUAAUGAUUUGCCUAACGACACCUCAAACAGACGUGGAAACGGAGGUUGCGUUCAAGAGGGCUUUUUCUUUCUUUUUAAAAAAAAAUGUUUUCUUUAUGUUUUUUGGUCUUUUCUUCCAUCGAGACUGGAAUCAAGCGUACAUGUCAGCUAUAGAUAAUUUAAGUUACUCUGUGUCAUGAUGUAAAACUGUCUAAUUUGGAGAAAAAAAAUGUAGCUUACUGAAAAAUAAAGAUUUAGGCACUGUU